AAUCAACGCUGGCGGCGUGCCUAACACAUGCAAGUCGAACGCGAAAGCCCCUUCGGGGGCAAGUAGAGUGGCGUCCGGGUGAGUAACACGUGGGUAAUCUACCUCCGGGUGGGGAAUAACUCGCCGAAAGGCGGGCUAAUACCGCAUAAUGCAGCGGCACCGAAUGGUGAUUAGUUGUUAAGGCGGGGGACCUUAGGGCCUCGCGUCUGGAGAGGAGCCUGCGGCAGAUUAGCUUGUUGGAGGGUAAUGGCCUACCAAGGCUGCGAUCUGUAGCUGGUCUGAGAGGACGGCCAGCCACACUGGCACUGACACACGGGCCAGACUCCUACGGGAGGCAGCAGUGGGGAAUUUUGGGCAAUGGGCGAAAGCCUGACCCAGCAACGCCGCGUGAAGGAGGAAAUCCUUCGGGAUGUAAACUUCACAAGCAAGGGAAGAGCGCGCAGGGUCGAAUAAACUCUGCGUCCGACGGUACCUUGCGUAAGCCACGGCUAACUACGUGCCAGCA
rnacentral:rRNA from 1 species